GUGGGGAAUAUUGGACAAUGGGCGAAAGCCUGAUCCAGCCAUGCCGCGUGUGUGAAGAAGGUCUUCGGAUUGUAAAGCACUUUAAGUUGGGAGGAAGGGCAGUAAGUUAAUACCUUGCUGUUUUGACGUUACCGACAGAAUAAGCACCGGCUAACUUCGUGCCAGCAGCCGCGGUAAUACGAAGGGUGCAAGCGUUAAUCGGAAUUACUGGGCGUAAAGCGCGCGUAGGUGGUUUUGUAAGUUGGAGGUGAAAUCCCCGGGCUCAACCUGGGAACUGACUCCAAAACUGCAUGACUAGAGUACGGUAGAGGGUAGUGGAAUUUCCGGUGUAGCGGUGAAAUGCGUAGAUAUAGGAAGGAACACCAGUGGCGAAGGCGACUACCUGUACUGAUACUGACACUGAGGUGCGAAAGCGUGGGGAGCAAACAGGAUUAGAAACCCGAGUAGUCC
rnacentral:rRNA from 1 species